CUGAAGUUAGACAUGUGACACUGAACAGAAGCAACACGUCCACUAGAGGGAAUUCUCUCCUCACAUUCAAAUUCUGAUGCAAAGCGUGAGAAGAGCUAUGAGCUGAGUUUGAUUAACAUUGAGAAAAAUCGACAUCUGGAAGAUGUCAGACAGAGACAGACAGCAGUACACAGACAGCUGUGGUGAUAUGAUGUACCUGCUGAGGAGUUUGCUGUUGUUCUACUUCUCAUUCAAUGAAUUGACCACAGCAGCAGGAAUCCAAAGAUGACUUCAGCUACCAGUUUUCUGUUUUUUGCGAUCCAUUUAGCCUGUAUAAGCACUGGAAAUUCUUCUGAGACAUUUGUCAAACUGGAGUGUGAAGAAGAAUACCAUGGGGUUUAUGGUCAGCAGUCAUUGCUGCAGUGUAUUGUCAAAGCUGUUCAGAACGUGACCAUCUUGACGGUGACCUGGAAGAGGGUGGGAGGUGAUGCACCUUUGUUGGAAUACCAUAAACAUGCAAAUGCCUCAACCCUCGGGUUUAAAUUUGCUGAGCCAUCCUGGAACAAGGAUAAUAUGAAUGUGUCCUUGUGGUUGACAAAUACCAAGAUGGCCGACAAGGGGGAGUAUGAAUGCAUGGUGAGAACAGACAGUGGUGAUGCUACAGCUACAAUCAGCCUCAGUGUCACAGCUAUGUACAAAUCACCAACCAUGAGUUCCAGUCCUGAGAACUGCAUAAAACAGAACACAGACGUGACCAUUUUCUGCAACUCUACAGGCGGGCACCAGAAAGGGUUGAUCUGGUGGUUUGACGAGUUUGGCGCAAACUGCACAGGCAGUGCUGAACUCGUGGCCAAAAAGACAGACGACACACUGUUUAGCCUCUCCAGUAAAUUGACGGUUCUGAAGGCUACAUACAGUGGUUCCACAAACUACACAUGCACAGUGCACAACACCAAUGGAGUCCAGGAGGGGAAGGCAUCAUUUGAGAUCCUGUUUGUAUGUUCAGCAGGUUCAAAAUAUGAUUUUGCUUCUGACUCCACUACCCAGUGGCUUGCCCCAUUUGGGGUCAUAGGAUCUCUGGUCAUUGGACUCCUUGCUGCGCUGCUGAUAUUUAAAAGGCGCUCUGUCCAACGGGCUCGAAGGCAGUCCACCUUCCCAUUAAUGAAGUUUAUUUUGUACUGCUGGGAGAAAUAUGGGCCUGUCUGCACUGUAAGGGAAGACCUGCUGUCUUGCAAGCCAAUGUCGAAUCAUGUGACAACGCGUGCACAGAGGUUAUCCACCAAUCACAACUGUGGACAGCCUUUCACAAAUUGUAACCACGCUGACAAAGUGUGGCGGCGGUAAGAGUUCCACCAAAAUGGAAAGUGGGGAAACCAACUCAGCCUCUCGUGAGGAUGAAAUCAUCCCCGAAAAGGGCUGCAAUGUUUUUUCAAUAAUAUGGAAGUGAUUUGGGUUGAAGAGGUCUGUUGUUCAGCAAACGAAUGUCUUGUGCAAAAUGUGUCGAAAGACAAUUGCUACGAAAAGCAGCAGUACAACCAACCCCUUCCAUCACCUGCAACUGAAACACGCGGUGGAAUGGGAGGAAUUCGUGAGACUAUGCAAUGCCGAUUCCAGUCGCCCAAUUUCCAAAAUGUCAGCUAAAAGACAUACUACCAUAGUCGCUUCCUUUUCAAACGUAAUCCCUUAUGACAAAAGUUUGAGGUGGAAGGAGAUGGCGGAUGCAGUGACCUAUUACAUAGCGAAAGAUAUGGUCCCAAUCUUUACAGUAGAAAAGCCAGCAUUUAAAAAUCUGCAAAGUACAGGUGACCACAAAUCAGCUGCCAAGCCGCAAGUAUUUCACAGAAGAAGCCCUGCGGCGAAUAUACACUGCUACCCACGAUAGAGUCGCAGAGAACCUGGCUAGUGUUUCUUAUUUUUCCUCCACAGCCGAUCUAUGGUCGAGCAGAACGUCAGAGCCAUACCUACAUUUGACAGUCGACUACAUAAAUGAAGACUGGAAAUUGUAAAACGUCUGCCUACAGACGUCUUACAUCCCGAUGAUCAUACGGGUGAAGUAAUAGCCCAGGAUCUCAAAGACUCUGGCAUUGUGGAAAAUGAGCGAAGACCAGCAGGUGUGCAUGACAACUGACAGCGGGAGCAACAUGAUAAAAGCAUUGUGCAUGACAACUGACAGCGGGAGCAACAUGAUAAAAGCAUUGUGCAUGACAACUGACAGCGGGAGCAACAUGAUAAAAGCAUUGUGCUUGAACAACUGGACCCGCCUGCAGUGCUUUGGGCACAGGCUUCACCUCGCCAUCGGUCACAGUGGCCACCCAACUGACAGGCACCGCGAUGAUGAGGCAGAAGGAAACGCUAUCCUUACUGUCUAAAUAGUGACAGAACACAUGACCAGCAUUCCAGUCUUUAGUAACUGAUUCGUUAACCGGCAGUCUCUGGAAGGGACUGUUCCCUUGACGGUCAAUAAGGGGCUUGUCACUGUCCUUUGAUGGACUGUUUCCUGUUAAGUGUUCGGUGACAGUCACUUUGGCACUCGGGUCAUUCUGAUUGAGGCAUUCGUUUCUUCACAAUCUACUGCUGAUGGCAGCCUUUAAAGUCUGUGGUUGAAUACAAAUGAUAUGUUUCUAUACAGGGUUGCCAUGGUGUCACUAUACUCUAGAUUCUACCACUGUAGAACAUUUGUAUACUGUAAUACCAGGUAAUCUAAUCACUGUACACACUAUACUACAAGAUGCAUGGUUUAACAUUCCACAUUUCCUCUACUGUAGAUUCUACCAUAUUGGUUGUUAUUACUAUACUGUAACGCCAUACCAUCUAAUCACUGUUACACGCCGUUCCAUACUAAGGUUGUGCGAACAUGCAAUUUGAACACUGCACUUUUCUGAAAACAUGUAGUUAAACUGGUUACACUUCUGGAAGAGGGUUUCACAAGACUGCACAACAACCACUCUUAUAACCAAAAGCCAGCCGGUUUCUCCUACCACAGAUUUAUUUUUGGGCCUUCCUUUUUCCUUGUCUUGCUCGAUCUGCUAGUGCAAAAUGCAGAUGUAUAUCUUGCUCAGAGCGUACGUCCAGGAAAUGCAAUGGAAUGAAACUGUAAACAUGUUGAUCAUCAGGUUUCAAGAGAUACUCCUGCAUCUGCCAGUAUUCUCCCUGGGCUUUGAUUCUGCUACAAUAUCUCUGGGGAGAAUGUGGCGCCCAAUUCCCUAUAUAGUGCACUACUUUUGACCAGAGGGAAUAGGGUGCCUUUUGGAAUGCAACCUUUGACUUGACUUUGUGUUUUAUCGUUUUUGGCACUGAAUAUAAUAUAUAACCAUUAUCAGAAGUCAGCCUGUCACUCCUCCCACAGCUGUUUGUUUGUGGCCUUCCUCUAUCCCCUUUCUUGUCUGGCGCUAUCUGCUGGUGUAAAAUUCAGAUCUACAUUUAUAUCUUGCCCAGGGCUCGCCUCCAUGAAGGCAGUGCAAUGGAACGCAACUGUAAACCUGAAAAACGAGAGUCAAUUGGUUAUCAGUUUCAAGUUGAACAUGUAAAUGUUUACCUGGUGGUUGAUUAUGAUACUUUUGUAUAUGCCACAAUUGUUUUAUGUUAUGAAAGAGGCUGCUACUGUCUUAAUAUUGUAGUUAUAGAAUGACUGUUUCAAUUCCCAUGAUGUUUUACUGCUAUCAAUACAUCUGUUGUAUUGUGGCAGCUUGAGGUGAAUGGUGUCCACGACAAGACUCCACCUCCCAUAAUUCCUGGCAAAUCUUGUAUCAGUUCCUUCUUACUUCAGUACAUGAUUGGAAGUUGGCACUAUAGCUACAGCCAGAAUGAUUCAUCAAUUUAUAUGCUACCCUGCUUGGCACUGGUCAGGGCUCUUCCAAAGAAGCUUGGGCUUUUGGUUUAGCUCGACUAUAGUGGUUUGAGAUGUUCAUGUGUAAAGUUUUGUUUAUUUUGCAGUUCAACAAAAUGUUUUCUUCUCUGUAUGAAGUGUAUAUCAAGCGAUUUGUUGAUGUGCCUGCUUGAGGCCUACUCCACUUACGAUUUUGUUGUCCCCGUUUUUUUCGUAUAUUUCACACUUUGAAAUUCCUUUUCAAAUCCCACACCUUGACACUGUUCAGGUUUUGUAAAUAGGAUGGAGAUUUUAAUUGUAGUUUUUAAUUACUACAAUCUUUUUUAACAUUUUUAUGAAAAUCAUAAUUGAUGGGGAGGCUAAUCUGAAAUGUUUUUAUGUUCUAAGGUUUAAACUGUUUUAAUAUGUUUUAAGGAACCAAAAGCAGUAAACCAUUGUGAGAAAAAAUGUAUAUAAUUACUGCACAAAGAUUUUUUAUAUUUUUUUUAUC